AACGAACGCUGGCGGCAGGCCUAACACAUGCAAGUCGAGCGCCCUUUCGGGGGAGCGGCGGCCGGGUGAGUAACGCGUGGGAAUAUGCCCUUCUCUACGGAAUAGCCUCGGGAAACUGAGAGUAAUACCGUAUACGCCCUUUGGGGGAAAGAUUUAUCGGGGAAGGAUUAGACCGCGUUGGAUUAGGUAGUUGGUGGGGUAAUGGCCUACCAAGCCGACGAUCCAUAGCUGGUUUGAGAGGAUGAUCAGCCACACUGGGACUGAGACACGGCCCAGACUCCUACAUACAACCCCAAUAUACAAUCUUAUACCAUCUAGGCAACCCUGAUCGAUCCAUGCCGCGUGAGUGAUGAAGGCCUUAGGGUUCUAAAUCUCUUUCAUCUAAGACAAUAAUAACUCUCCCCUCACAACAAUCCCCGGCUAACUCCCUG
rnacentral:rRNA from 1 species